rnacentral:rRNA from 1 species
UACGUAGGGUGCAAGCGUUGUCCGGAAUUAUUGGGCGUAAAGAGCUCGUAGGCGGUUUGUCGCGUCGGCUGUGAAACUCGGGCUGCACCCGACGCCUGCAGUCGAUACGGGCAGACUAGAGUGCGGUAGGGGAGACUGGAAUUCCUGGUGUAGCGGUGAAAUGCGCAGAUAUCAGGAGGAACACCGGUGGCGAAGGCGGGUCUCUGGGCCGUAACUGACGCUGAGACGCGAAAGCGUGGGGAGCGAACAGG